rnacentral:rRNA from 1 species
AAGUUUGAUCCUGGCUCUGUAAGUCAGUAUUGCGGGGGCGGAUUAGUGGCGAACGGGUGAGUAACACGUGAGUAACCUGCCCUUGACUCUGGGAUAAGCCUGGGAAACUGGGUCUAAUACUGGAUAUGACUUCUCACCGCAUGGUGGGGGGUGGAAAGAUUUAUUGGUCUUGGAUGGACUCGCGGCCUAUCAGCUUGUUGGUGAGGUAAUGGCUCACCAAGGCGACGACGGGUAGCCGGCCUGAGAGGGUGACCGGCCACACUGGGACUGAGACACGGCCCAGACUCCUACGGGAGGCAGCAGUGGGGAAUAUUGCACAAUGGGCGCAAGCCUGAUGCAGCGACGCCGCGUGAGGGAUGACGGCCUUCGGGUUGUAAACCUCUUUCAGUAGGGAAGAAGCGAAAGUGACGGUACCUGCAGAAGAAGCGCCGGCUAACUACGUGCCAGCAGCCGCGGUAAUACGUAGGGCGCGAGCGUUAUCCGGAAUUAUUGGGCGUAAAGAGCUCGUAGGCGGUUUGUCGCGUCUGCCGUGAAAGUCCGGGGCUUAACCCCGGAUCUGCGGUGGGUACGGGCAGACUAGAGUGCAGUAGGGGAGACUGGAAUUCCUGGUGUAGCGGUGAAAUGCGCAGAUAUCAGGAGGAACACCGAUGGCGAAGGCAGGUCUCUGGGCUGUAACUGACGCUGAGGAGCGAAAGCAUGGGGAGCGAACAGGAUUAGAUACCCUGGUAGUCCAUGCCGUAAACGUUGGGCACUAGGUGUGGGGGACAUUCCACGUUUUCCGCGCCGUAGCUAACGCAUUAAGUGCCCCGCCUGGGGAGUACGGCCGCAAGGCUAAAACUCAAAGGAAUUGACGGGGGCCCGCACAAGCGGCGGAGCAUGCGGAUUAAUUCGAUGCAACGCGAAGAACCUUACCAAGGCUUGACAUGUUCCUGACCGCCGUAGAGAUACGGUUUCCCCUUUGGGGCAGGUUCACAGGUGGUGCAUGGUUGUCGUCAGCUCGUGUCGGGAGAUGUGGUUAAGUCCCGCAACGAGCGCACCCUCGUUCCAUGUUGGCCAGC